rnacentral:rRNA from 1 species
UACGUAGGUGGCAAGCGUCAUCCGGAUUUAUUGGGCGUAAAGGGAACGCAGGCGGUCUUUUAAGUCUGAUGUGAAAGCCUUCGGCUUAACCGGAGUAGUGCAUUGGAAACUGGGAGACUUGAGUGCAGAAGAGGAGAGUGGAACUCCAUGUGUAGCGGUGAAAUGCGUAGAUAUAUGGAAGAACACCAGUGGCGAAAGCGGCUCUCUGGUCUGUAACUGACGCUGAGGUUCGAAAGCGUAGGUAGCAAACAGG